CCCAUAGCUACGCCCCGAGGGGGGCGCCCACCUGCCGGCGGGCCGGCCUCCGUGACGGCCUUGCCCAGGCCCGGCCCCCCCGGCCAGCCGGGCCCUAAUGGUCGCCCGGGUCCCCGUCCUCUCACUCGUAUGCUGGGGAGCAGAUAGACAAGAAACCACAGAUGGUCAAAGAAGGAAGCUUUUGGAGAGAAGAGACAUCACCAUGGUCUAUUGGAAGAGAAAACUUUGUGUAAUGUCCCAUUAAAGAGAUUGAACGAGGCAGAGAUCAUCCAGAACAGAUUUCAGAUUACCUUUUCAGACUUGUUUUGGGUUGUUUUAUUUAGGAUGGUUUAUAAAUAAUACAAGCUUCUAUGUUUGAAAUACAUAUGGACGUAUCUCACCACCACUGUCUUCACAAGCAUGGUUUAUUUUAUACACAGAUGAAAUGGAAUCUAUAUAAAGAAAAAAAACAAAAAAGAGAGGUGGUUUGUGUUUGUCUAAAUGCAGGGCUAAUGUUGAAACACAUUUUGUUUCUUUCUCACUGACACUUGGAACUGGCCCAAAGUCCUCAAGCCUUGGCAAAGCAGACACUGUUCUACAGAUAAAAACCUAAUUAAACUGAGUGCUACCUGUGGCAAGGCCGUUUAGAAAUUCAUAGAGUUCAAGCAACCAAAA